UAGGUAGUAUGGGUUAUGUUGUGUUAUAUAAUGUGUGUGAUAAGUAAUGAACUAUUUUCAACUUUUAUGUUGGUCAAGAUUUUAAAUCCCGACUUUCGUAGUCACAAAGGGAUAGCUGAUGUUUAAAGCAAUAUGUGCUAUGGUAUGUUAAGUGCUAUGAAUAUGAGUCUAUGUUAGAUUAAUGAAGUAAGUUGUUAUAAAGAUAGUAGACAUUUAUCUGAAUAUUGGUUAAUAUAGUAAUCCAAGUUUCAAAAUUUAAUAUUUUGGAAUACAUGAUUAUUUGAGUAGAAAAUUUUGUGUUAUAUGUCGAACGUAUACGAUGAGGCUUAGAAUCUAAGGAAAUGAAGAAUAAUUUAUGAUUAUGUCACCGAGACGAAAACGAAAACCAGCCGCGGAAGAUCAACCAGAUAAUCGAACGUCGAACGCCAAAGACUUUAAGGCAAUCCUAUUGCUAGGGUAUAGAGGAUUAAGUGACUCAGUAGAAGCGUUUAUGAUAGUUAGGAUAACAAAAAGUGCAAAAGAUAACUUUUAUCACCUAUACGAUAAAAGGGAAAUGAGAUAAACAGAAAGUUUGUGGGCAAAAGGGACAUAUCUCUUCCAAUUAUCCCAAUUCAAGAAUGUAUAGCGAAUGUUUUAUUUGUGAAUCAAUGGAGUAUAAGGUGAAAGAUUAUUCAAGAAGGAGAAGUGAGAUAAGGAAUGCGAAUACGAGAAAUGACAGCAAGAUAUAGGCGACAACGAAACCAAUUUCAACAAACAACCCAACUGCGAGGGUCUAUAACAUGACGGUACAGGAUACGGUGGCAGCUGGAAACAGAACUCCAGGUGCUAUUUGAAUAACUUAUGUGUCUU
rnacentral:lncRNA from 1 species